rnacentral:rRNA from 1 species
UACGUAGGACGCAAGCGUUAUCCGGAAUUACUGGGCGUAAAGAGCGUGUAGGCGGUUGCGUAAGUCAUCCGUGAAAGCUCCCGGCUAAACUGGGAGAGGACGGGUGAGACUGCGUGGCUAGAGGGUUGUAGAGGGAUGUGGAAUUCCGGGUGUAGUGGUGAAAUGCGUAGAGAUCCGGAGGAACACCAGAGGCGAAGGCGGCAUCCUGGACAACAUCUGACGCUGAGACGCGAAAGCGCGGGGAGCAAACGGG